rnacentral:rRNA from 1 species
AUUGAACGCUGGCGGCAGGCCUAACACAUGCAAGUCGAGCGAGUGGCGGACGGGUGAGUAAUGUCUGGGGAACUGCCUGAUGGAGGGGGAUAACUACUGGAAACGGUAGCUAAUACCGCAUACCAUCGGAUGUGCCCAUAUGGGAUUAGCUUGUAGGUAGGGUAACGGCUUACCUAGGCGACGAUCCCUAGCUGGUCUGAGAGGAUGAUCAGCCAAACGGGGACCUAGACACGGCCCAGACUCCCAAGGGAGGGAGCAGUGGGGAAUAUUGCACAAUGGGAGCAAGCCGGAUGCAGCCAUGCCGCGGGGAUGAAGAAGGCCUUCGGGUUGUAAAGUACUUUCAGUCGGGAGGCGUUACCGGCAGAAGAAGCACCGGCUAACUCCGUGCCAGCAGCCGCGGUAAUAC